AACUUUCAACAACGGAUCUCUUGGCUCUGGCAUCGAUGAAGAACGCAGCGAAAUGCGAUACGUAAUGCGAAUUGCAGAAUUCAGCGAGUCAUCGAAUCUUUGAACGCACAUUGCGCCCGCCAGCAUUCUGGCGGGCAUGCCUGUCCGAGCGUC
rnacentral:rRNA from 2 species